UUAAAUUGAAGAGUUUGAUCAUGGCUCAGAUUGAACGCUGGCGGCAGGCCUAACACAUGCAAGUCGAACGGUAACAGAAAGCAGCUUGCUGCUUUGCUGACGAGUGGCGGACGGGUGAGUAAUGUCUGGGAAACUGCCUGAUGGAGGGGGAUAACUACUGGAAACGGUAGCUAAUACCGCAUAACGUCGCAAGACCAAAGAGGGGGACCUUCGGGCCUCUUGCCAUCGGAUGUGCCCAGAUGGGAUUAGCUUGUUGGUGGGGUAACGGCUCACCAAGGCGACGAUCCCUAGCUGGUCUGAGAGGAUGACCAGCCACACUGGAACUGAGACACGGUCCAGACUCCUACGGGAGGCAGCAGUGGGGAAUAUUGCACAAUGGGCGCAAGCCUGAUGCAGCCAUGCCGCGUGUAUGAAGAAGGCCUUCGGGUUGUAAAGUACUUUCAGCGGGGAGGAAGGGAGUAAAGUUAAUACCUUUGCUCAUUGACGUUACCCGCAGAAGAAGCACCGGCUAACUCCGUGCCAGCAGCCGCGGUAAUACGGAGGGUGCAAGCGUUAAUCGGAAUUACUGGGCGUAAAGCGCACGCAGGCGGUUUGUUAAGUCAGAUGUGAAAUCCCCGGGCUCAACCUGGGAACUGCAUCUGAUACUGGCAAGCUUGAGUCUCGUAGAGGGGGGUAGAAUUCCAGGUGUAGCGGUGAAAUGCGUAGAGAUCUGGAGGAAUACCGGUGGCGAAGGCGGCCCCCUGGACGAAGACUGACGCUCAGGUGCGAAAGCGUGGGGAGCAAACAGGAUUAGAUACCCUGGUAGUCCACGCCGUAAACGAUGUCGACUUGGAGGUUGUGCCCUUGAGGCGUGGCUUCCGGAGCUAACGCGUUAAGUCGACCGCCUGGGGAGUACGGCCGCAAGGUUAAAACUCAAAUGAAUUGACGGGGGCCCGCACAAGCGGUGGAGCAUGUGGUUUAAUUCGAUGCAACGCGAAGAACCUUACCUGGUCUUGACAUCCACGGAAGUUUUCAGAGAUGAGAAUGUGCCUUCGGGAACCGUGAGACAGGUGCUGCAUGGCUGUCGUCAGCUCGUGUUGUGAAAUGUUGGGUUAAGUCCCGCAACGAGCGCAACCCUUAUCCUUUGUUGCCAGCGGUCCGGCCGGGAACUCAAAGGAGACUGCCAGUGAUAAACUGGAGGAAGGUGGGGAUGACGUCAAGUCAUCAUGGCCCUUACGACCAGGGCUACACACGUGCUACAAUGGCGCAUACAAAGAGAAGCGACCUCGCGAGAGCAAGCGGACCUCAUAAAGUGCGUCGUAGUCCGGAUUGGAGUCUGCAACUCGACUCCAUGAAGUCGGAAUCGCUAGUAAUCGUGGAUCAGAAUGCCACGGUGAAUACGUUCCCGGGCCUUGUACACACCGCCCGUCACACCAUGGGAGUGGGUUGCAAAAGAAGUAGGUAGCUUAACCUUCGGGAGGGCGCUUACCACUUUGUGAUUCAUGACUGGGGUGAAGUCGUAACAAGGUAACCGUAGGGGAACCUGCGGUUGGAUCACCUCCUUACCUUAAAGAAGC
rnacentral:rRNA from 3 species